rnacentral:rRNA from 1 species
AUUGAACGCUGGCGGCAAGCCUAACACAUGCAAGUAGAACGAGUGGCGGACGGGGGAGGAAUGUCUGGGAAACUGCCUGAUGGAGGGGGAUAACUACUGGAAACGGUAGCUAAUACCGCAUACCAUCGGAUGUGCCAAGAUGGGAUUAGCUAGUAGGUGGGGUAAAGGCUCACCUAGGCGACGAUCCCUAGCUGGUCUGAGAGGAUGACCAGCCACCCUGGAACUGUGACACUGUCCAGCCUCCUACGUGAGGCAGCAGUGUGGAAUAUUGCCCAAUGGGCGCAAGCCUUAUGCAGCCAUGCCGCUUGUAUGAAGAAGGCCUUCGGGUUGUAAAGUACUUUCAGCGGGGAGGCGUUACCCGCAGAAGAAGCACCGGCUAACUCCGUGCCAGCAGCCGCGGUAAUUC